rnacentral:tRNA from 1 species
GGUCCUAUGGUAUUAGCGGAAAACAUACUCCCCUGUCACGGGAGAGUCACGGGUUCGAAUCCCGUUAGGACCGCCA